GACGAACGCUGGCGGCGUGCUUAACACAUGCCAGUCGAACGGAAAGGCCCUGCUUUUGUGGGGUGCUCGAGUGGCGAACGGGUGAGUAACACGUGAGUAACCUGCCCUUGACUUUGGGAUAACUUCAGGAAACUGGGGCUAAUACCGGAUAGGAGCUCCUGCUGCAUGGUGGGGGUUGGAAAGUUUCGGCGGUUGGGGAUGGACUCGCGGCUUAUCAGCUUGUUGGUGGGGUAGUGGCUUACCAAGGCUUUGACGGGUAGCCGGCCUAAGAGGGUGACCGGCCACAUUGGGACUGAGAUACGGCCCAGACUCCUACGGGAGGCAGCAGUGGGGAAUAUUGCACAAUGGGCGGAAGCCUGAUGCAGCAACGCCGCGUGCGGGAUGACGGCCUUCGGGUUGUAAACCGCUUUCGCCUGUGACGAAGCGUGAGUGACGGUAAUGGGUAAAGAAGCACCGGCUAACUACGUG
rnacentral:rRNA from 1 species